rnacentral:misc_RNA from 1 species
GUGAGGCGGAGAAAGAAGUCGCUCUAUUUUCUCCCUCACCGGACUUCGCUUCGGUUCGGCCCUGGUUUGUUGGGUUGGCUCCUAAAUCCUAAUCAUAUUAAAUUAUAAAUUAAAAAACAAGCAUUGAUGGCUUCUUCAGCCAUUGUUCAUAGCUUCUGCUCCGUACUACCUUCCCGCUCUCUCAAAAACCAAACCCUAACACUGACAACCCAAUCCCGGUUUCUUCCUCUGCUUCCUUUCUAAAACUCAACCACCAAUCUCUUCUCCUUCCGAAAUUCCGACUUCUCAAGCCCACACCUCGCAAUUCUAGGUGCGCUCCCGUCGUCUUCGCCGCUCAGUUUGAUUUCUUUAAAGUUAUUCAAACAGCAUGGAAGGUUGGGAAGGAUGGUGUUGAAGCAGGAACUAAUCUGGUGCCUGACUCUGUACCAAGACCAAUUGCAAGGAUUUCAGUAACAGUUGUAGCACUGGCCAUUUCACUUUUUAUGCUGAAGUCAUUUCUAUCUACGGCUUUCUUUGCUCUGGCUACAAUGGGAUUCGUAUAUUUCAUCUUCAUUGCCUUGAACAAGGAUAAAGGACCAAGAGGUGGUGGAGGUUCAGAUUCUUCAGAGGAUCCUUUAGAAGAAGCCAGAAGAAUAAUGGAUAAGUACAAGUAACA